rnacentral:rRNA from 1 species
UACGAAGGGUGCAAGCGUUACUCGGAAUUACUGGGCGUAAAGCGUGCGCAGGCGGUGAUGUAAGACAGGUGUGAAAUCCCCGGGCUUAACCUGGGAACUGCAUUUGUGACUGCAUCGCUGGAGUGCGGCAGAGGGGGAUGGAAUUCCGCGUGUAGCAGUGAGAUGCGUAGAUAUGCGGAGGAACACCGAUGGCGAAGGCAAUCCCCUGGGCCUGCACUGACGCUCAUGCACGAAAGCGUGGGGAGCAAACAGG